UACGUAGGGACCGAGCGUUGUCCGGAAUCAUUGGGCGUAAAGAGCGUGUAGGCGGCCACUUAAGUCCUGCGUGAAAUCCUGCGGCUCAACCGCAGGCGGUCGUGGGAAACUGGGUGGCUAGAGUGCGGGAGAGGAAAGUGGAAUUCCUGGUGUAGCGGUGAAAUGCGUAGAUAUCAGGAGGAACACCGGUGGUGUAAACGGCUUUCUGGACCAUAACUGACGCUGAGGCACGAAAGCGUGGGUAGCAAACAGG
rnacentral:rRNA from 1 species